rnacentral:rRNA from 1 species
GUGGGGAAUUUUGGACAAUGGGCGAAAGCCUGAUCCAGCCAUGCCGCGUGCAGGAUGAAGGCCUUCGGGUUGUAAACUGCUUUUGUACGGAACGAAAAGACUUCUUCUAAUACAGGAGGUCCAUGACGGUACCGUAAGAAUAAGCACCGGCUAACUACGUGCCAGCAGCCGCGGUAAUACGUAGGGUGCAAGCGUUAAUCGGAAUUACUGGGCGUAAAGCGUGCGCAGGCGGUUAUAUAAGACAGAUGUGAAAUCCCCGGGCUCAACCUGGGAACUGCAUUUGUGACUGUAUAGCUAGAGUACGGUAGAGGGGGAUGGAAUUCCGCGUGUAGCAGUGAAAUGCGUAGAUAUGCGGAGGAACACCGAUGGCGAAGGCAAUCCCCUGGACCUGUACUGACGCUCAUGCACGAAAGCGUGGGGAGCAAACAGGAUUAGAUACCCCAGUAGUCC